UAGCAGCAGCUUUCUCUAAAUACACUAAACUAGGUGAGUUUACACCCUAUAGAAAAAAAGUUGAGUUUCACAACAUACAUAAGUUUCAUUAAAAUGGGAAUUGUAGCCGCUUUUAUGUAUAAUUACUAAGAUUAAAUAUAAAGUAUGAUAUAACAAAAUUCUUGUGAGUGUUUAAUCCUCAAGCACAAAGUAUUUAAAAAGUUUCUUAAAUUCGGAAAAUUAUACAAACCUCUCAAUUAUUUUAUAAUAUUCCGGUCUUUGAUCCCUAAAUUGUAAAGCAAACAUACAUGAACAUUCAAUCAUGGAUGACAAAUAGCACACCAAUGACUCUCUUCCUUGGUGUGCAGCAACCAGUUCCUUUAAAUGAGGUGGUGGUAUAAGAGCAACAAAAGUUCUUGGUAAAUUGUCUCUUAAUAUUCUAAGAGUAUUAAUUAAAUCUGUUUUGUGAUCAUUUAACAUAGUCCAUGGAGAAGAAGUUGUACACAUAUUAACGCAAAAAUCAUUGCUUCCAAUCAUCAACGAAAUCAACUGGAAAAUAUAAAUAUGUAGGUAC
rnacentral:misc_RNA from 1 species